rnacentral:rRNA from 1 species
AUUGAACGCUGGCGGCAUGCCUUACACAUGCAAGUCGAACGGCAGCGCGGACUUCGGUCUGGCGGCGAGUGGCGAACGGGUGAGUAAUACAUCGGAACGUACCCUGUUGUGGGGGAUAACUAGUCGAAAGAUUAGCUAACACCGCAUGCGACCUGAGGGUGAAAGUGGGGGACCGCAAGGCCUCACGCAGCAGGAGCGGCCGAUGUCUGAUUAGCUAGUUGGUGGGGUAAAGGCCCACCAAGGCGACGAUCAGUAGCUGGUCUGAGAGGACGAUCAGCCACACUGGGACUGAGACACGGCCCAGACUCCUACGGGAGGCAGCAGUGGGGAAUUUUGGACAAUGGGGGCAACCCUGAUCCAGCAACGCCGCGUGUGUGAAGAAGGCCUUCGGGUUGUAAAGCACUUUUGUCCGGAAAGAAAUCGCGCUGGUUAAUACCUGGCGUGGAUGACGGUACCGGAAGAAUAAGCACCGGCUAACUACGUGCCAGCCGCCGCUGUAA